GCAUAGUGAUUCUUCCUGAGUUUCUGUGCUCAGGGGAGCAGAAUAAGGCACCCUGCUGAUGGAUAUUUAAUCACUGACCUCUAUUUGGCUCUCAAGGAAAGCUGGGGUGGAUCUGAGGCAUUUCUUACUGGGGCACCAUCUUGUUAGUAUAUCAAGGCUCCUGAGGCCCUCCAAAAGAGCCACCCUUCUGGUUGCCUGACACCUUGUUCUCCUGCUUAGUUCCCGAGUCCUACCCUGCUGGGGUUUCCUGUUGAUUGCUCAGUCACUGGGAUGUCUGUCAUUCUGGACCCUCUGUUGGUUUGAAACGGUUCUUCAAUGAUCCUGUUAAUUCCUUCCAGACAGCAAGCAUGCGCGCAUACACCCCUCCUGCACUGUUCCGAGAACGUUAACCCUUUUGAACCUACAUGUUAGCAAUACAAUGUACAGAGGAAAACUGAGGCAUGCCUGGGAUUAAUAAAAACAAGUAUUUUUUAAAACUCCCUCUUGGUCACAGAUCAACUUGGGUCUUCAGUAAGGUCAGCCAAUGCAAGGACUACACCAGGCUUAAAUCUUAUCAAAACUAUUGGCAAUCUCUGACAUCUAGGGGGCAGGGCACUUUAUGUAGGUCAUAGAGCAUAAGCUACUUGUAUUGUUUAUCACAAGCCUGAACUUGUCAUGAUCCUGGAGGUAGCUUGUGGCCUCUUUACUUGAUGUAUCCAUCCUGGGAGUUGUGAGCUCUAGGCUUCUCUGAAAAUCAGGCCAUUUUUAUUUCAGUCCCCCAGGUUUGAAAACUGUAGCCUAUAUUACCUUUCACUUCUAGAGCACCUUUUGAUUGUUGGCUUUGACUUUCUUUAUACAUUUAGCCUCCCGAAAUGCUCUGAAGUAGCAGAUAUGGAUAGACUUGGCCAUAAGAAAGUGGUGUGUGUGGGUUUUUUUUUUUUUUUUACAAAACUAGUACCAUUGCAAUGAAGGAUGCAGGGUGCCUCGUUAGCCACUGCAGCAGAGGUAGCAAAAAGACACUGCACAGAAAUAUUGCAGAACACACAUUAUUUCAUGAAAGCAUCCCAUGCAGCCCUAGAACCUGGCAUCUCUUACUGUAAGUUAGACUCUUCCUGGAGGCCUCUCCACACAUCAGAAAAUAACAAGCUAAGAACAACAAGGGUGGUGUGGAUUUCAAGAAGCUGACCCCCCUUCGACAAGUUAGUCAUGGAAACUCUCAUAGCAAACAGGGCUGCUACCUGUUUCUCUGCCCCUGCCUUGCCUGGGUUGCUAGAGAAUACCUGAUCUCUGACAGAGAGACCAUCUUCUUCUGAGGAAAAUCUACCAUCUACAUUAAAACAUGGAGUAGCCUUACCAAAACUAAAGAAACAAUAAUUCUUUGCUGGAGUCCUUGCAAGCUGCUGCCCCCUGUAACUAAACUUAGAAGGUCCCAGAACAUGCUUCAGCAGCCAGUCACCUGGAUUCCUCUGUUAGAAAAAGGUUGUGGCAUGGUGCAUGACACCCUCCUGCCCAAAGGCCAGGGUAUAAAAUCAUAGACCUCCUGCUGGAUGUCUGGCAUUUGGUAC